CACGUAGGGCGCAAGCGUUGUCCGGAAUCAUUGGGCGUAAAGAGCUUGUAGGCGGUUUGUCGCGUCUGCUGUGAAAUUUCGGGGCUCAACCCCGAACUUGCAGUGGGUACGGGCAGGCUAGAGUGUGGUAGGGGAGACUGGAAUUCCUGGUGUAGCGGUGAAAUGCGCAGAUAUCAGGAGGAACACCGAUGGCGAAGGCAGGUCUCUGGGCCACUACUGACGCUGAGAAGCGAAAGCAUGGGGAGCGAACAGG
rnacentral:rRNA from 1 species